UACGGGGGGGGCAAGCGUUGUUCGGAUUUACUGGGCGUAAAGGGCGCGUAGGCGGCCACCGCAAGUCGACUGUGAAAUCUCCGGGCUUAACUCGGAAAGGUCAGCCGAUACUGCGGGGCUAGAGUGCAGAAGGGGCAACUGGAAUUCUCGGUGUAGCGGUGAAAUGCGUAGAUAUCGAGAGGAACACCUGCGGCGAAGGCGGGUUGCUGGGCUGACACUGACGCUGAUGCGCGAAAGCUAGGGGAGCGAACGGG
rnacentral:rRNA from 1 species